GCAGAACGUGUUCAUGAGUUAAAUGAAGAAAUUGGUAAAUUGUUAGCCAAGGUGGAACAACUAGGAGCUGAAGGGAAUGUGGAGGAAUCCCAGAAAGUAAUGGAUGAAGUAGAGAAAGCACGGGCAAAGAAAAGAGAAGCAGAGGAAGUUUAUCGGAAUUCUAUGCCAGCUUCCAGUUUUCAGCAGCAGAAACUUCGAGUCUGUGAAGUCUGCUCUGCCUAUUUAGGACUUCAUGAUAAUGACAGACGACUGGCUGAUCAUUUUGGGGGUAAACUGCACCUGGGAUUUAUUGAAAUAAGAGAGAAGCUUGAAGAAUUAAAGAGAGUCGUAGCUGAGAAGCAGGAGAAAAGAAACCAGGAACGGCUGAAACGAAGAGAAGAGAGAGAGAGAGAAGAAAGGGAGAAGCUGAGGAGGUCCCGAUCACACAGCAAGAAUCCAAAAAGAUCCAGGUCCAGAGAGCAUCGCAGACAUCGAUCUCGCUCCAUGUCACGUGAACGCAAGAGGAGAACUCGAUCCAAAUCUCGGGAGAAACGCCAUCGCCACAGGUCCCGCUCCAGCAGCCGUAGCCGCAGCCGUAGCCACCAGAGAAGUCGGCACAGUUCUAGAGAUAGGAGCAGAGAACGAUCCAAGAGGAGAUCCUCAAAAGAAAGAUUCAGAGACCAAGACUUAGCAUCAUGUGACAGAGACAGGAGUUCAAGAGACAGAUCACCUCGUGACAGAGAUCGGAAAGAUAAGAAGCGGUCCUAUGAGAGUGCUAAUGGCAGAUCAGAAGACAGGAGGAGCUCUGAAGAGCGCGAAGCAGGGGAGAUCUAACUAGCUGUGUACAUUUCUUCAGUCCUUAAGCUUCCUACGGAGUUACGUACUAUUGUUUAGUUCACAGCUGUUCAGGGUGACAGUGAGCAGAUCCAGACACCAGAUCCAGCUAGGCUAGAUGUACAGUAUCUAACUUGAUCUGAACUGAACCUGUUUUCCUUGAUGAUGCCUAAAACUACAUCCAUAGUUUCUGGUGAACCUGUAAUACAGUUCUGAAAGUACAGUUUUAUAUAAUAAGAUGCUGAUCUCUUUAUUCUUUCAAGUAAGAGUGCUAGUGAACAAAUUGUGUUACUUGCCUUGGGAUUUUUUGAACGUUUGUAAAAUGCUGUCUUCCUAGUCCAAACAGCUGCAGCUUUGGGCAUUUUUCUUUUUAAUUAUUCUUCCUCUGACUUUGUAUCCCUUAAUACCUACACUCUCCAAUUGUAAGAGAAAGGGGGCAGGGAAGCAAUAUAGCUUCCAUUCUAAGGCUGUAUUCCCGUUAUGAAUUACUAGCUGAUUACAGUUCAGAGCAUUGAUCCUGGAAUGUGUGCUGGAGAAAUUUAAAAUACUGGGGUUUUUUGUUUAAUGGUGCCUAUUUAGAGUUGGAAGUUGAACAGCUGUUGCAUUACAUACUUUUGCUUUUUUAUUGAAAUUUUGAAAUCAAACGUCUUGAUUUUUCUGUUCUGUUGAAUUGCUAUGUUCAGGAUGUUCUAGGGGGUGGGGGCAGGGACUCUUUUCGUAAUAAGCACUUGUUUUAUUUUGUGUGUGUGGAGUAUAAAGGCUACACCCUUAUUGUAAAAAAAUAAUAAUAAUAAAAUGAAAGAAACAAUCA
rnacentral:lncRNA from 1 species